rnacentral:rRNA from 1 species
CCUACGGGAGGCAGCAGUGAGUACUAUUGGUCAAUGGGCGCGAGCCUGAACCAGCCAAGUAGCGUGAAGGAUGACUGCCCUACGGGUUGUAAACUUCUUUUAUAAAGGAGUAAAGUGAGGCACGUGUGCCUUUUUGUAUGUACUUUAUGAAUAAGGAUCGGCUAACUCCGUGCCAGCCGCAGCGGUAAUACGGAGGAUCCGAGCGUUAUCCGGAUUUAUUGGGUUGAAAGGGAGCGUAAAUGGGUUGUUACGUCAGGUGUGAAAGUUUGCGGCUCAACCGUAAAAUUGCAAUUGAUACUGGCAGUCUUGAGUACAGUUGAGGUAGGCGGAAUGCGUGGUGUAGCGGUGAAAUGCAUAGAUAUCACGAAGAACUCCGAUUGCGAAGGCAGCUUACGAAACUGCCACUGACAUUGAUGCUCGAAAGUGUGGGUAUCGAACAGGAUUAGAUACCCCGGUAGUC